GAUCCUUCCUGACAAAAUCAAAAGCAUUGAAAUUCAUGGAGAUGGUGGUGUUGGAUCCAUCAAACAGAUCAACCUGGCUGAUGAUGGUCCAUUUCCC